GCGCACGCGCGGAAGCUCUGGCAGGCCCUGUCCCUCAGCGCCCGCCCGGCGCGUCGCCCAUGGCCUCCCCUCCGCGUCCCGUGCCGCCGCAGCCCGCCCCGCGCCGCCCUCCGCCCGCAGCUCCAGUGGGCCAGGACACGAGCGACGUCCUGCAGCAGAUCAUGGCCAUUACGGACCAGAGCCUGGAUGAGGCUCAGGCCAGGAAGCAUGCUCUGAACUGCCAUCGGAUGAAGUCCGCCCUCUUCAGUGUGCUCUGCGAGAUCAAGGGGAAGGCCGCCGUCAGCAUCCGGUAUCAGGAAGAGGACCCUCCCGACGCUCAGCUGCUGAGGCUGGACACCAUGCUGCUGGCUGAGGGUGUGUCCAGGCCAGAGAAGAGAGGACGAGGAGCAGCAGCAGGCAGCACAGCAACACCAGGUGGCUGUCCAAAUGACAAUAGCAUUGAGCACUCAGACUACAGGGCCACGCUGUCCCAGAUCCGACAGAUUUACCACUCUGAGCUAGAGAAGUAUGAACAGGCCUGUCGAGAGUUCACCACACAUGUCACCAACCUUCUCCGGGAGCAGAGUAGGGUGAGGCCUGUGUCCUCCAGGGAGAUGGAGCACAUGGUGGGCGUCAUCCACAGCAAGUUCAGUGCCAUCCAGAGGCAGCUGAAGCAGAGCACCUGUGAGGCUGUGAUGACCCUGCGUUCACGGUUCCUGGAUGCCAGGUCUCUAACUGGUUCGGCAACAAAAGAAUCCGGUACAAAAAGAACACGGGCAAGUUUCAGGAAGAAGCCAGCGUGUACUCAGGGAGAACGCCUACAGCCUCCAAGGCCUGGGGCACAGGGGCUCAGGCCAGCUGCCAGUCCACACCCAGCCCAGGUGACAAGGCCGUGCCCCUCAACUGUAAGCUUUCUGAUGCUGUUAGCAGCCAGUGCCAACAGAGGGACAAAGGACCUCAGCCUCACGGGCCAGCAUCACCUACACAGGGAAAAGAACAGGUGGCCAGGUGCUUUAGGUAGUCAAAUACAGGGUCUCUCUCUCUCUCCCUCCAUCCCUCUCUCCAUCCCUUUGCACUCCCUUCCUCCCUCUCUCUCUCUUUUAGUUUUUGAGAAAGCAUUCUUCUAUAUAGCCCUGGCUGUCCUGGAACUCACUCUGUAGAGCAGGCUGGCCUGGAACUCAGAGCUCUACCUGUCUUUGCCCCCUGAGUGCUGGGGUCAAAGUGUGCUCCACCACCACCUUCCCCAGAGUCUCUGAGCGAGGAGCUAGGUAGAUGCCACCAGAAAUGCUAUGACCCCCAGCCUGACUUCAGCCGCUUCUCACAGCUUCCUGUGGCCCCUUCCCACUGACAAGUGGGGGUGACAUGGUUCUCGCCCUGCGGACCCUGGCCUUCCUCCAGCCCCCACCGGGGGGAAUGUGCCUACAGCCCCUGGCCCAUGGUAGCUGGCAGAAGGCCACCACUCCACAGCGAGCC